rnacentral:rRNA from 1 species
UACAGAGGGGGCAAGCGUUGUUCGGAAUUACUGGGCGUAAAGGGCGCGUAGGCGGCCUCUUAAGUCGAACGUGAAAUCCCCGGGCUCAACCCGGGAACUGCGUCCGAUACUGGGGGGCUUGAAUCCGGGAGAGGGAUGUGGAAUUCCAGGUGUAGCGGUGAAAUGCGUAGAUAUCUGGAGGAACACCGGUGGCGAAGGCGGCAUCCUGGACCGGUAUUGACGCUGAGGCGCGAAAGCGUGGGGAGCGAACAGG